rnacentral:lncRNA from 1 species
GUAGAUACGAAGGCCACAUUGACCGGAACAGGGAAUAGCCGGUGAAGAGGAUGUAGUGAGACGAAGGAGACGGAGAGUGAACCGGUAAAUGUAGUAAGUGAGAAGGAAACGAUUGUACCGCCAUUUUCGUCAAUGCGCAGAGAGAGAAACUAGGGUUUUGGUUUUCUGAGCGAAAGACAGCAAGAGAAAGACAUAAGUAUGCUCUCCGUGUUUUCAUUUAAGUGCAGUUUUUUGCU